rnacentral:rRNA from 1 species
UACAGAGGUCUCAAGCGUUGUUCGGAUUCAUUGGGCGUAAAGGGUGCGUAGGCGGCGCGGUAAGUCGGGUGUGAAAUCUCGGAGCUUAACUCCGAAACUGCAUUCGAUACUGCGGUGCUUGAGGACUGGAGGGGGACUGGAAUUCUCGGUGUAGCAGUGAAAUGCGUAGAUAUCGAGAGGAACACCAGUGGCGAAGGCGAGUCCCUGGACAACGACUGACACUGAGGCACGAAAGCUAGGGGAGCAAACAGG